GCGCCAGCAGCAGCGGUUAUACGUAUGUGGGCAGCGUUAUCGGGAAUUAUUGGGCGUAAAGCGCGCGUAGGCGGUUUUUUAAGUCUGAUGUGAAAGCCCACGGCUCAACCGUGGAGGGUCAUUGGAAACUGGAAAACUUGAGUGCAGAAGAGGAAAGUGGAAUUCCAUGUGUAGCGGUGAAAUGCGCAGAGAUAUGGAGGAACACCAGUGGCGAAGGCGACUUUCUGGUCUGUAACUGACGCUGAUGUGCGAAAGCGUGGGGAUCAAACAGGAUUAGAUACCCUGGUAGUCC
rnacentral:rRNA from 1 species